GAUGAAACGCAGCGAAAUGCGAUAAGUAAUGUGAAUUGCAGAAUUCAGUGAAUCAUCGAAUCUUUGAACGCACAUUGCGCCCCCUGGUAUUCCGGGGGGCAUGCCUGUCCGAGCGUCAUUACAACCCUCAAGCUCAGCUUGGUGUUGGGCCCCGCCGCCCCGGCGGGCCCUAAAGUCAGUGGCGGUGCCGUCCGGCUCCGAGCGUAGUAAUUCUUCUCGCUCUGGAGGUCCGGUCGUGUGCUCGCCAGCAACCCCCAAUUUUUUUCAGGUUGACCUCGGAUCAGGUAGGGAUACCCGCUGAACUUAAGCAUAUCAAUAAGCGGAGGA
rnacentral:misc_RNA from 1 species